ensembl:lncRNA
GGGGGUUGUGGCAGAAAGAGUAGAUCCUGGGGAGAAAGCACAGUGUACAGAAAUCCAAGAAAGCAGCUGAGAACUGGUAAAUAGCCCAGUCUGAUUAAGGUUCAAAAAAGAAGCAGAAUAAGGCUAGGAAGGUGAGUUGCCCCAAAUUGCGGGAUCUUAAAUGGGAUCUAGGAGGCAACAGGGCAUCCUCACAGGUGUCUGAACAGGGUGUGGGAUGACAGUGUUUCAGGAGGAGCCAGGCCAGCCUGGGAGCCUUUGGAAGCCUCGGAGGGGUCCUCUACAGGGAAGUGAAGUGGUGGAUCCAGGAAGAAGGAGAGCAUGCCAUAGACACCCAGGGAGAUACUGCGCAUACAGCCCUGUUUUAUCCUGCUGGCUUUGAGCUACUCUGUACUCUCCCACCUUAUGGUCAGGAACGGCAGCCCUGGCUGGCUUGGACCACGUCGCAGUGACACUGAUGUGUCAUUUAUUCUUUGUUACCUGUGGUUGCUCUUAUAGGUGUUUAAUGUGAAACAGAGGGAGUACGGUAUCUUCUCUAUAUAUUGGGUUGUUGCUUGUGAGUUUAUUUAGAUAGUGUAUGUUUUCUCAAUGUCCAUGAUGAAGUGGAGGAAGAAGUGAAGGAAAUGAGAACAAGGAAGUGGGCAGGCGUGACUUCCUUAUAUUUCCAGAAGGCAGAGCUUUUCAGACUUUCCACUAGAGAACUUUUAUUGGGACCUAGGAUUCUGCGGUGUGGCCAAUUGUGGCCAACUGAAAGCAUCCAUUUCUUUGUGGUUUAGUGUUCUGCCUUAAAAUUUCAUGUAAAUUCUGCACUCCCAUAAUAUAUCCAUCCCUCCUGUUAUGAUGUACCUAGUUUACCCUGUGGCUUUGAGGACCUCCGGCUCACCACCACGGACUUCCCUCCAGCAAGAGGCCGUCGUGAUUGUUCUGUCUAGGACUGGAUUAUUGAUUUGGACAAGUCACUUGAAAGACAGCUUUAACCGAUCUAUUUCACUAUGAUCAAAGAAAACAGCUUGUAAAUCUUCCUUGCCUUCUUUUCUUUUUGCUGCAUAGGUUGGCAGUUGGCAGAUUUUAACAUAUGUCUUAGUAACCACUUGGAUGGGAAAAUACUCUUCAAUUAAAGAUCCUUUUGUUUACAGAAAAGUCCAUAGAGAUAGACGGAUAGUAAAGUCUAAUCGCCAGCUUCUCCAUAAUGCGAGACCUAUGUGGGGAGAAUCUGAGGAGGGAAGAGGAGUUUUGGAGAGGAGAGGAGGACCUGGUCAUUUGACUGAUAAGGUUGACAGCAGGAAACUAGCCCUGGUUGAUUAUCUUUGUAAAAAAUGGGUACACUCUCUAGAGCUCCUUCCCCACACACCAUAGCAUCUCUUGCUCCAAAGGCUUAUGAGCUCCAGGUAUAUGUUGCUAACUAUAAGUUGCUUCUCUCCUUCCAAGGUCUUGGCUUCCUCUCAAAUCUCCAGCUUCUGAUCGCCAACAUGCUCUUUUCAGCUCAGCUUUUCUAUUCUCUUCCUCCUCUUGGGCAUUCUGCAGCUCAUUCGCCUUUAUCCCAUCUUGAUGAAGGAGUUAAGAGAUUCCGUCUGCUCAUCCCAUCUGUUACUUCCUGGUUUUCUCCAGAGAAAUACCCUUUAAUGGAGCAUGAAUGUCAGGUCUUCCCCAAAUGCUGACCCUGUUGUUCACUUGGACUGAAUGAGGGCCUUUCUCCUCACUGAUUCUUGGCAGCUGGCUCACUCCUCUGUGGCAGGGUUGUGUUUGGCGGGGUUAAGCCUACCUGGGGAAUCGUGAGUCUCCCUCCUGCGGCAGCCUCGCCAGGGUCUUCCUGCCCCAGACCCUGCUCUGGGGCACCUGCUCUGAUCCCAGUACAGUUCUCACAAUGACUGCAUAGCAUGGGACCACUAUGGCUGGUAAUGGCUUAAGAUUUAGAAUGUUUUUGGUAAUGGUAAUGGAAUGGUAAUAGUUCAUUCUAAAUACCUUUCUUCAUGUUCCAAUUGCCAGCCCAUCCAUUUUCUUUCCUGGUCAAGCUAAGUUACAGCAGAUAAAAUACAUCAGUCACUUGUUAAAUAUUCCUUGAUAUCGAUAUGCCUCUAUGAGAGAUCUGUAGUCACAGAAACUCUCAAACAUGAGCCAAGAAGAAAAAACUGUGUGGCAACUGCCCAACUUUAAUAUCCUACCAUCCACUUCCUGUUUAUUGCUUAAGACUUGAUGAACUUGUAUGUGCCACUGCCCAGGGCACAUGAGAGUCACCCAGAGCCCUGUUAGAUGACUGUUUUCAUAUGAAGAGGAAGGAACUGCUCCUCUCAGACCUUGGGGACAGAUUUAGAACCAUCACCUGACAGGGUCCAGUUCCCCACCGCGGAGUUGGGAAGUAGCUGGAAGGAAAGCAAAAGAGAAAUUACACCUGGAUUUCAAACAGAAGCACAAGCAGUCUCUUAACACUCCAGUUUAUGGCAAAGGAAGCAUCUCUGAAGAGAGAUGUUGUCUGCUGGAAUUCCCUGAACAUGAUAAACUGUCCUGGGAGGGGCACUUUCAGGGGGCCACUUUGGGGACAGCUGAAGCCAUAGUUGGAUCUGUUACCUAACGUCAGGGUUGGAUAUAGGAGAAUGGUUGAGGAGAGGGGCUGGAAGAAAGAGGGAAAAUGCUAGUCUCCAAUGAGAAGAGUCUGGGGUACGGGGAGAAGGGAAGGAGAAAUAAACUCUCCAGGUCAGCUCAAAGUCCCACGUCUUGGAGGGGGUUGAGGUCUGACCCUAUACCCUGGCCAAGCCCUUCAAUUCCUUGCAAAAGGAGUGGAAGCCAUUCCAGCAUCUCAGCACCAGCCCAAGCUGCAAGCUCAAAAAACAGCAGAGAGUGUGCCGAGCUCUGGUGUCGGCAGGGACAGCCGGCGGCCUCACUGUGGAGAGAGGAGCAACAGAGAAGGUCCUGGCCAGUAGGGCUUUCUCUAGACUCCAUUCUCCACCAGCUCCCAGAGUUUCUGCCGAUGACAGUUAAAAU